CGGCCCGCCGGCAGUCCGGCGCCUCCCCAAGGCCUCUCGCCGCUCGCAGCAGCGCUGCCGCAGGGCGUGACGACCCGCGGGGCGCGCACAGGCGCGGCCGCCCCGCACUGCGGCGGUGCCCCCUCGGGACAGCGGGAGCGGGGUCCGUGCCGGGAACCCCGGCGGGCCGCAGCCCUCCCCGAGCAAGCCCUGCGCGCAGAGCCCGGAACCAUCCUGCCCCGGGCCGCGUUCCGUCUCCGCGGGACGGGGCGCCGCCGCCGCGGGCCCUUCACCCUCGCUGUCCGGCUCCGCGCCCCCCGAGUCGGCACGGCGCUCCCGGGACGGGGCGACGGCCCGGGCCAGGGGACAAAGGUCGCGAUCUACGGGCCAGCCGGCCUCCCCAGGCACGUGUAGGGAGCGGGGACCGCCCCAUCCAGGCGUCAGCGGGGGGCGGUGGGUACCGAUCACUCACAGGGACACACCGCGCUUGCUGGUAUAUGCAAAAAAGUCAAGGAUGUCGGUAAAGGGAUAGGUUAAGGACAAGGGAUGUCCUUAAGCUGUCACGAUGACGCCGGUUUCGUUGUCAGAUGAGCAACAUUCUAGCAAGUCAGUUGGCUUGAGGAGACGCUAGGAGCGCAGCUAAGAGUUUCUCUGAAAGUAAGGGAAAUGCCUCUGUGCCCGGAACAUGCGUCUCUGCGGUGCGGAGAAACAGAUGCGUGUGCGGAGCGAGCCCAGCGGCUCUGGUUCUCAGGAUGGGCGGAAUGGUGGGGAAAAUUACACCCGCGUUAACAAAGAAAAUUCACAGCGAAAUUUACUACCUAGAGGGGUAAACACUUGCUGUCCCCGGUGGACCAACUAAUUCUUUGAGAUCUAAAUGUGCAGACAGAGAAUUCGUUUCAUUUUGCUCAUCACGGUAGUGCUGCCUUCUCCUGUGCAAUCCUGUGUGUGGGAAAUGUUUCCACAAAUCCUGCAUUUACCAGAAUUGCCCCGCCGUGCCAGUCUUUUCCUUCACUCCCUGUCUUUUGGUUGAGGUUUCCAUCCAAUGUGGAAGCAGGUGAUUUUGUGAUGAAUCAUUUUUCACUCACUUCCUGGGGGGAAGUUGCUUUAAAACUACUCCUGUGUUGAAGGUAAUACCUAAAAAUGCAUUGUGGCACACACUUCUUUUUUUAUGAGCCCUCCAAAAAUUUGAAUACUUAUUAUACACUACAGGAAAAGGUGUGAAAAUAGCACCAGUCCUUCAGAUAAGACAAUCUUUACAAUAUUUUUGUAUGUAGAUUGUCUUCCAGAAAUGAGCAAGAAAAGAUAUUUUUGCAGUAUGAAGUUACUUCCACUGUUGACACACACUCCAGACUGCAAGCUGUCUGGAAGUUCAGGAAGGCUGUUCCUGUGCAUUUUGGGGCACGAGUCUUGCAGACAUAAGCUGGCAGUUGCGGUGCACUGCACGUCAUUUGCUUCUGGAGCUUUGGCGUUCCAUUUUCCUGUUAGUUCUAAAUUUAAACAAAGCCUUUUCAAGAUAACUUAAUUGCAAAACCUAGAUCCAGAUUUUUUUAUUUUUUUUUUUUCCUGGAGUCAUUUUACUGAAGUAUGAUAAGAGAUACCUUUAGUUUAAUACCCUAUUAGGGUAAGUGCCACAUUUGGAAAAGAGGCAAGCUUUUUACAGUGGAGAAAAAGCCUUCAGACCUGCUUAAGGUCUUCAAGUACUUAAAGACAAGGUUUUGUCUAAGGUUUAAACCAAAUUGUUUUUCUAAACAUAAACAUACUCAUGGCUAUCCAGAAUUACACUCCUAGGUAGUUUAUAUCAAGCAGAUGGAGGGAAUAGUUAUAAAAAACCUUUUUUCCAUCCUUUGUUGUGAUUUUUUGUUUUAAAGUGUACAAACUUGCAAUGCUGCCUAAAAACAGUACAAAAUUUGGAGUCUAGGUUUCCAUACCUCUCCCUAUGAUCUGGAAGAAUCAGUUACAUGUAUGAUUUUCAGGGUUCUUACUGUGAUACAAUGUUGAAAACUGGGGGAUCAGAUAUUUCUUUCACUAAAAAUUGAAAAAGUUAGACAUCCACUGUACCCAGAGCAUCUCUUAAAAGCUGAUAGCCUCUGAGGUGGUCUCCAUAAGCCAGACUUUGCAAUGGGGUGAUUUCCACCAUGAAUUCUUCUUUAUCUCUGUUUUGCUUUGGUUGGUGCUGCUGAAGUCCCUGAUGAUUAGAGAAAGAAAAUUACUGCAAGUAAGGCUGGCAAGAUUGAAAAAGCUGAUUAUGGACCUUGAAAUUGAUAUGAUAACUGACCUGUGGAAUGCCUCAAAGACAUUUGAGGUAUUCAUCUGAAGAGGUGAGACAACCUGUAACCCGGGUGAAAUGUCCCUGCAGCGAUGCUCACGGCACGGAUAACAGCAACAGCUGGAAACCACGGUGCUGCUGGAACACUGUGGUCUAACCACGGUAACUGAGAUGUGGAGGGACAAGCUGCGUGCUGCAGCACUGCACCAGUGGCUAGGAAAUGUUCAGAAGGGACGGGCAAGUAGGGAGGAGUCAGGAUGAUGUUACCCUCAGUGUGAAAAAUGGAUGAACUACAGGGAGCUGCCAUGGAAAACCAGCAAUGAUCAGCUACAGGAAGAUUCACACUCCAGGCUCUGAUCCUGAUGUGGGGUUUCAGCCACUCUGCCAUCUGCUUUAAGGAGGCCAGGAGGCUCCAGAGUGCAUUGAGGUCUUAAUCCAGGUGCUGGCACAACCAAAGGAGAAACUUUACCACAAUAAUAAGAAUAAUAAGAAAGACUUGUGCAGGUAUGUGGUCAGAAAAGGAGACCAAAGAAAAUGUAAGCUCCCAAUAAAUUAGACAGGAUAACUGGCCUCAUAUUGAAAAGGCUGAGGCACUCAACAUUUUUUUGCCUCACUUUUCAGUGGUUAACUCUCUUCCCACAUUUCUCAAGCCCCUGGUGCCUAAUCUAAAUUAACCCCUCUUUGGUUUAGACUAACUCUUCUCCAUUAAGUUUUGAUUUGUACAGAAAAAAUAGGCAGUUCAAAUGUGUAUGAGAAAUACAAUGUGGAAGGGACAGUGCAGGCUAGAUAGAUGGUUUCAUCAUGCAUUUUACUUUAUCAGUGGCAGGAUGUUUCUCAUCCUUUCAGUGGCUGCUCUGGAUUAAACUGGAUAGUCAGGCUCUAUGUAGAUUACAAGAUUUUUGCCCUGUGGUGGCAGGUUUUCCACAAGAAACCCAGGUAAAACAGUUUCAGUUAUUCUAUAUUUCUUAUACUCUAGUCUUUGGAUAUAUUAAACUGCCCAUCAAAGAGGUAUGUUGUGAAGCUCUUCCAUGUUGCAGUGGGGAAUGUGACAUUUUUUUUAGUAAAUAAUGCAUCUUUAUCCCACACUGAAAAACACCGUGCGUGCAUCCAUCUCUCCCUCUGUUUCUGAACAAGCAGUAGCAGAAAUAUGGACCAGCUUUUUCAAAUGACUAUUAGACAUGGUGGCUAAUAUUUAAACCCAAUGUUAAAUUGUAUGAUUGUCAUAGCUACCAAGUAAUGGUAGAAGAGUGUAGCCAGACUGAAUGGGACGUCAAACUGAAGAAAAUCAGACCUGCUACUGCAGAUUUAAAAGCUAUCCUUUAGGCAGUUAGACUCCUGGACUAUGUUCACUCAUCUCCUGCUCGGAUUUUAGCAAGCUCUUGUUGACAUUUUUCAUUACAAGCUACCUUCUAAUGCUAUCCAUCCUGUGGAUUGAGGAAAGAAUUGGAUAAUUGAAUUGAGAUGAUUUUGAAUUGAUAUUGAUAGAAGAACUGAUAUAUUAAUGUCAUAACUGUUAAAAGAACUAGAGGAGUGAGAAACUGUUAUUAAGUCUCAUUCUCCCUGUGCAGCUGCCAGUAAAAAAGUCUCAUGGCACAUGGCAACUGCCAAUAGUUUACAGAGCUUUGAACAGUGUCCCUGAACCACUCACUGCAGCUGUUCCCAGGAAAAGUGAUAUAGUUAAUACUCUUAAUGAAUAAGAUGCAUGUACUGAACACCAGCAGUAUACUUUAAAUAUCUUGGUGUGGUAUUGGGAAAUCAGGAGAGGAUUCAAUACCUCUUACUCAAAAAACACAGAGUUGCUUUGCUGGACUUUCAAGGGAGAGGAAUAAGGGAAACUGUGAUAAUGAAACUAGUCAUUACUGAGGCUUGGAUACAAUCCAAGAUUUAAGUUUUCUUUCUCCUUCACUAGGAACUGAUAAAUGAGUAAGUGAAAGCUGUCAUUCAACCUGCAUACUACAGAAGCUAACUAUCUAGAACAUAUACUAAGUAUUCCCUGGAACUUUAUUAAUGCUCUGAUGAUGGAAGAAUGUUGACAUAUAACUGGAGACAACAUAUAAUGCUGACAACAUCUGAAAAGAUAGGAAGCUUCAUGUAUCAGACAAUGCCCUUGCGUUGAGAAAUCUGGUAUUCUGUAUUGUAAACCCACAAAAAUUGGUAAACUCUGCAGUAACUUGGACAGUGAGGUUCAAAUAUCAAAAAUCUCACAUCAGUGCUGGCAGAAUUCUAGACUUCAACUUGAUCUGUAUGCUUAGGACCUAUUAUGGAACACAACAUACUCUGAAAUUGAAGAACUGGAAACCUGAAAAACCAGAUAUGAAAAGGCUAUUAUGUAACAAAAACAAGUGACUAUUGCAAUAAAGCAUGAUACCUGCUGGAAUUUUUUGAAUCACAACAGAAAUUGAACAAACUGCUGGGCAUCAUUGGUGUGAUAUUUUUAUGGGAUUCACACCAUCUGCAUCUGGCAUAUUGCAUUUUAUAUCCUAUGAUCAUUGUAUUAUUGUGUUCUGUUUUAUUAGGCUUUUUUAUUCUUAUGCUGGUAUAUUUGUAUAUUGUUUUUCUCUCCUGGUCAAAAAUAUAUCACAUUUAACACAUGAAUUGUUAAAUGAUUACCUGCCAGUAAGAAUACUGUCUCCUUCCAGAUGUUCCAUCAUUGUGUAUAAGAAAUGUGUAUAUAAUCAACAGAAGACCUGUAAGGACUACUCUGAAAGCUAGGUUUAUAUUUGCUUAUUCACUGACAGAUCUUCAGAGCCUGUUUAAAAUAAAUAAUCAGUAUCCAGUCUUGAA